GGGACAUGGGGUUUAUAAAAGGGUUGGUUGUUUAGCAGCGAUACCGAUGCUUGUGGAACUAUGGGAUAAAACCCGAUAGGGUUGGCUUUAGACGGACAGCACGGAAACUAUAUUUCGCCUCCAAUGUUUAUUGAAAACGUGUAGAAGGAGCACUUGUCUCAAAUAUAUUGUUACAGUUAGUUAGUUAGCUAGUGAAUUUUAGCCAUAUUAGCAUCAACUUGAGGUCAGUUCAAACACCUCAAAACAAUACUUUAACAAGACGAAACGUGUCGCCUGGGAUUCCCCACAUGGCAGCGUCUGGUCAUUGUUGCUAUCUGACCUAGAUGCCUCUCUAUCACACAAACUACAUUCAAGAAAAACCUUCCAAUGAGUAGGUGUAUCCAAACUUUUCACUGGUACUGACCCGUCUAUCCAACCAGUCCAGGACCCCUGGACAUUGAAUAAGGUUCUGGUACUGACCCGUCUAUCCAACCAGUCCAGGACCCCUGGACAUUGAAUAAGGUUCUGGUACUGACCCGUCUAUCCAACCACUCCUGGACAUUGAAUAAGGUUCUGGUACUGUAU
rnacentral:lncRNA from 1 species